rnacentral:rRNA from 1 species
GGAGGGUGGACGGCCACAUUGGGACUGAGACACGGCCCAAACUCCUACGGAAGGCAGCAG